AUUGAACGCUGGCGGCAGGCCUAACACAUGCAAGUCGAGCGGAUGAAGGGAGCUGGCUCCUGGAUUCAGCGGCGGACGGGUGGGUAAGGCCUAGGAAUCUGCCUGGUAUUGGGGGAUAACGUCCGUAAACGGGCGCUAAUACCGCAUACGUCCUGAGGGAGAAAGGGGGGGAUCUUCGGACCUCACGCUAUCAGAUGAGCCUAGGUCGGAUUAGCUAGUUGGUGGGGUAAAGGCCUACCAAGGCGACGAUCCGUAACUGGUCUGAGAGGAUGAUCAGUCACACUGGAACUGAGACACGGUCCAGACUCCUACGGGAGGCAGCAGUGGGGAAUAUUGGACAAUGGGCGAAAGCCUGAUCCAGCCAUGCCGCGUGUGUGAAGAAGGUCUUCGGAUUGUAAAGCACUUUAAGUUGGGAGGAAGGGCAGUAAGUUAAUACCUUGCUGUUUUGACGUUACCAACAGAAUAAGCACCGGCUAACUUCGUG
rnacentral:rRNA from 1 species